GACAGAGGGUGCAAACGUUGCUCGGAAUCACUGGGCGUAAAGGGCGUGUAGGCGGGAGAGAAAGUCGGGCGUGAAAUCCCUAGGCUCAACCUAGGAACUGCACUCGAAACUUCUUUUCUUGAGUACCGGAGAGGAAAGCGGAAUACCUGGUGUAGAGGUGAAAUUCGUAGAUAUCAGGUGGAACACCAGUGGCGAAGGCGGUUCUCUGGGCAUUACCUGACGCUGAGGAGCGAAAGUGUGGGGAGCGAACAGG
rnacentral:rRNA from 1 species